AGUGAACGCUGGCGGUAGGCCUAACACAUGCAAGUCGAACGGCCGCACAGUAAGAGCUUGCUCUUACGGGUGGCGAGUGGCGGACGGGUGAGGAAUACAUCGGAAUCUACUUUUUCGUGGGGGAUAACGUAGGGAAACUUACGCUAAUACCGCAUACGACCUACGGGUGAAAGCAGGGGAUCUUCGGACCUUGCGCGAUUGAAUGAGACGAUGUCGGAUUAGCUAGUUGGCGGGGUAAAGGCCCACCAAGGCGACGAUCCGUAGCUGGUCUGAGAGGAUGAUCAGCCACACUGGAACUGAGACACGGUCCAGACUCCUACGGGAGGCAGCAGUGGGGAAUAUUGGACAAUGGGCGCAAGCCUGAUCCAGCCAUACCGCGUGGGUGAAGAAGGCCUUCGGGUUGUAAAGCCCUUUUGUUGGGAAAGAAAAGCAGCAGGUUAAUACCCCGCUGUUCUGACGGUACCCAAAGAAUAAGCACCGGCUAACUUCGUG
rnacentral:rRNA from 1 species